rnacentral:lncRNA from 1 species
GAUUAAUCCUGGAAGGUACUGAGGAAUUUCUAUUCUGUACCUCUUUAAUUUUCACCAGGAGCAAGAUUCUUGUGCCUGAAGCAUCUACAAGGGAAACUCUCUCUUGCUAACAGCGAACACCUUUGAGGCAUGAUUACGCUGGAGAAACAUCUUCUCACCUGCACACAUCUCACCCACCCCCUUUCAGAGAAAACCACUGCGAUUGAGAAGAAAAACUUCUUACUCAGAAAUGGGUGAUCUGAAUUUGAGUUGAAAAUCUGCUACUCCUUAACUCUGUAUCCAAGUUUCUACUGGAGCUCCAAGAGCAUCGGUAUCAUCUGUGAAGGGUAAGAGAGCCCACCCUUCGUCUAUCACCUGGUGGUUGUGAGCAUUAAGGGAG